GACGAACGCUGGCGGCGUGCUUAACACAUGCAAGUCGAACGGAAAGGCCCUGCUUUUGUGGGGUGCUCGAGUGGCGAACGGGUGAGUAACACGUGAGUAACCUGCCCUUGACUUUGGGAUAACUUCAGGAAACUGGGGCUAAUACCGGAUAGGAGCUCCUGCUGCAUGGUGGGGGUUGGAAAGUUUCGGCGGUUGGGGAUGGACUCGCGGCUUAUCAGCUUGUUGGUGGGGUAGUGGCGUACCAAGGCUUUGACGGGUAGCCGGCCUGAGAGGGUGACCGGCCACAUUGGGACUGCGAUACGGCCCAGACUCCUACGGGAGGCAGCAGUGGGGAAUAUUGCACAAUGGGCGGAAGCCUGAUGCAGCAACGCCGCGUGCGGGAUGACGGCCUUCGGGUUGUAAACCGCUUUCGCCUGUGACGAAGCGUGAGUGACGGUAAUGGGUAAAGAAGCACCGGCUAACUACGUG
rnacentral:rRNA from 1 species